AGCGAACGUUUGCGGCGGGCUUAACACAUGCAAGUCGAACGAGAAUCCCUUCGGGGAGGAAAGUGGCGCACGGGUGCGUAACACGUGGAUAACCAACCCAUUGGUUUGGGACAACACCGGGAAACUGGUGCUAAUACCAGAUGUGUCGCAGCUGUCUUCAGGCGGUUGCGAGAAAGGCCCGCAAGGGUCGCCAACGGACGGGUCCGCGUCCCAUCAGCUAGUUGGUGAGGUAAUGGCUCACCAAGGCAAAGACGGGUAGCUGGUCUGAGAGGAUGAUCAGCCACACUGGAACUGAGACACGGUCCAGACUCCUACGGGAGGCAGCAGUGGGGAAUAUUGCGCAAUGGGCGAAAGCCUGACGCAGCCACGCCGCGUGAGCGAUGAAGGUCUUCGGAUCGUAAAGCUCUGUGGGGGGAGAAGAAGAAAGCCGGUGAAGAGCCGGCCCUGACGGUAUCCCCUUACGCAAGCACCGGCUAACUCCGUGCCAGCAGCCGCGGUAAAGU
rnacentral:rRNA from 1 species